rnacentral:rRNA from 1 species
GAUGAACGCUGGCGGCGUGCCUAAUACAUGCAAGUCGAGCGAACGGACGAGAAGCUUGCUUCUCUGAUGUUAGCGGCGGACGGGUGAGUAACACGUGGAUAACCUACCUAUAAGACUGGGAUAACUUCGGGAAACCGGAGCUAAUACCGGAUAAUAUUUUGAACCGCAUGGUUCAAAAGUGAAAGACGGUCUUGCUGUCACUUAUAGAUGGAUCCGCGCUGCAUUAGCUAGUUGGUAAGGUAACGGCUUACCAAGGCAACGAUGCAUAGCCGACCUGAGAGGGUGAUCGGCCACACUGGAACUGAGACACGGUCCAGACUCCUACGGGAGGCAGCAGUAGGGAAUCUUCCGCAAUGGGCGAAAGCCUGACGGAGCAACGCCGCGUAAGUGAUGAAGGUCUUCGGAUCGUAAAACUCUGUUAUUAGGGAAGAACAUAUGUGUAAGUAACUGUGCACAUCUUGACGGUACCUAAUCAGAAAGCCACGGCUAACUACGUGCCAGCAGCCGCGGUAAUACGUAGGUGGCAAGCGUUAUCCGGAAUUAUUGGGCGUAAAGCGCGCGUAGGCGGUUUUUUAAGUCUGAUGUGAAAGCCCACGGCUCAACCGUGGAGGGUCAUUGGAAACUGGAAAACUUGAGUGCAGAAGAGGAAAGUGGAAUUCCAUGUGUAGCGGUGAAAUGCGCAGAGAUAUGGAGGAACACCAGUGGCGAAGGCGACUUUCUGGUCUGUAACUGACGCUGAUGUGCGAAAGCGUGGGGAUCAAACAGG